CAGCAUCUUGCUGCAGAGAGCACCUGGGCUUUCUCACAGAGCUCAGUAGGGAGAAGCAGAAAGUCUGGUUUCUUCCUGUACAAACUCUUCCUGUUGAGGAAAUCUUUGCCAUGCAAGGCAAAGGAAGGAGGACCUCUUCAGAAAGGCCAAAGCAGCGUAAGUGAGGACAUCAGUCUUUGGCAGACCUUCCUCUGGUUCUUUUCUGUG